rnacentral:rRNA from 1 species
UACGUAGGGGGCAAGCGUUGUCCGGAAUCACUGGGCGUAAAGCGCGCGCAGGCGGCCUUUCACGUCCGGGGUGAAAGCCCAGAGCUCAACUCUGGGAUUGCCUUGGAUACGGAAGGGCUUGAGGAUCGGAGAGGCAAGGGGAAUUCCACGUGUAGCGGUGAAAUGCGUAGAGAUGUGGAGGAACACCUGUGGCGAAGGCGCCUUGCUGGCCGAUUUCUGACGCUGAGGCGCGAAAGCGUGGGGAGCAUACAGG